rnacentral:rRNA from 1 species
UACGUAGGGUGCAAGCGUUAAUCGGAAUUACUGGGCGUAAAGCGUGCGCAGGCGGUUCGGAAAGAAAGAUGUGAAAUCCCAGAGCUUAACUUUGGAAUGGCAUUUUUAACUCCCGAGCUAGAGUAUGUCAGAGGGGGGUAGAAUUCCACGUGUAGCAGUGAAAUGCGUAGAGAUGUGGAGGAAUACCGAUGGCGAAGGCAGCCCCCUGGGAUAAUACUGACGCUCAUGCACGAAAGCGUGGGGAGCAAACAAG